CCUUUGUUGUUUGUGUUGGCUGCUGAUUUGCUUCAGUUUGUGGUCAAUGAUAUGUGUUCCAAAGGGAUUUUGACAAUCCCGAUUCCAACGCAUUGUCAGAACUAUCCUAUAGUUCAGUAUGCUGGUGACACUUCAAUUGUCUUGCCUGCAUUGGAUCACCAAAUCAUAGCUCUAAAGGAUAUGUUAGAUGUUUUUGCUGCCUCAAUUGGUCAGUUAGUCAAUUUUGCAAAAUCGUCAGUGGUGCCUAUGAAUAUUCAGAUGAAGAGGCCAACAGAUUGGCCAAUAUUUUGGGGUGUAAGUUGGGAUCUAUGCCCUUCACUUAUUUGA
rnacentral:rRNA from 1 species